UAAAAGCUUAAUAUUUUGCCAUUUUGGGCUUGGCCCAUUUUUUUGCCCAGGAGUGUACAUGUAGAAUGUAAAUAGAACAUAUGUUUAAAAGGGUAUAGAAAAGGCAUAACCUUUUCCACCUGACACAUGAUUACAAACUGGCCAACAAAUGAUGUAAAGCCUACAGAAAAUCACAACUGGCAGAUAAAGGUCUCUUCACUCUAAUCUGUUGACAUGACUACAUAGACAGCUGUACAUAAAUAAGUGUAUUUUAAACAUGACAAAACCACAACUGAUCCAAUCAUGCGUGAGUCCUAUUUUUUGCAAUAUGGAGUAAGUAACCCUGCUUUUACUCUAUUUGAUGGAUGUAGAGCUGGAUUUGAAUCUGGCCUGGGCCUUUCUGUGUGGAGUUUGCAUGUUCUCCGCCAUGUCUGCAUGGGUAUCCUCCGGGUACUCCAGUUUCUUGCCACAGUCCAAAGACAUGCAGGUCCUGGUCGGAUGCUACAUUUGGCUUCUUCAUGAAUGAGAUGGAUAUGUAGUUUUGCACUUAUGUCACAAGAAAUCAUUGAAGAAUACUUGAACACUACAGAUCCAGUCAUGGUCACUAUGGAAGAAGAUUAGCUCUCCCCUGCAUUUACAGCGAUUGUGUGUACAAUAUCCAGUUACAAAAGUCUCUCCAAACACACGAGACAACAUGGUGUUGAGAAUUAGAUGCCAUUUAUGUGACUUUGAAGAACCUGCAGACGUUAAACUAUACUUUCGUAAUCUUGGCACGCAUUUGAGAAAUAAGGAAACUGUCAUUUGCUCAUUUAAUCGUUGUGCUUUUAAAUCAAGUGUUAACUCCAGUUUUCCACCACACAAAAGUCUAUCAUAACUCCAACUCUUUACAAGAUUUUAAAGCAGAGCUUCUUCUUGGCCCACCAAAAUAAAUUGAACACUCAGAAGAUCAUGUUUUAGAUACUGCUGCACAAAUAGCCGAUACUAACACUCAAUCAGCAGAUGGAAAUUGUGUUGACUUCCAGUCAGAUGAUGACGAAGAUGCUGACAUUGAACAUGGCAAUGACAUUGGUGAAAAAAUUAAGGGAAGACUUGCAUCUUUGCUUCUACGCAUGCAAGCAGUCUACACAGGAAAUAAUUAAUGAAUUUUAUGAAAUUGGUAUUUUAGCUGGUGAACUUUCAGAAAACACUGUUUAAGUGGUUCUUAAAGAGCAUAACUUAAAUAUAGAUGAUGCCACACUGAAGUUAGUGACUGAGACCCUCCAGAAAACCAAUCCUCUUAGCUGUCUUUCAGAGAGUGGUCCUCUUGGAACUGAAUAUGAAAGGCAGUCAUUUUACAACAAAAGAUUUGAUGUUAUUGAGCCAGUUGAAUAUGUUUUAGAUGGUCUGCACAAGAAAACUUCUGUAUAUGUCCCAAUUUCAAUUGUAUUGCCAAAAUUAUUGAAUGGGGUGACGUAUUUGACAAAAUCCUAGAACAGUCAAAUGUAAAACCUCAGUUUGGUCAGUACAAAUCAGUUUGUGAUGGGCUAUACUUCAAAGAUAAUCCACUUCUUUCAGGUGAAGACUUGGGUAUUUCUCUAGGAUUAUAUAUUGAUGAAUUUGAAAUAUGCAACCCUUUGGGACUUCAAGAAAAAAACAUAAAGUUACUGCUAUUUAUUUGGUAUUUGCAGAUUUGUCUGUCAGAUGCAGAUCAGCCUUAUCCAAUAUAUACCUUUCAGUACUGAGCAAUAGUAGUGAUGUGAAGACUUUUGGUUAUGAACUAAUUGUUGAACCACUUCUUAGGGAGCUUUGUAUACUUUAAACCAGGGAUUUUACAUUGAUAGGUUGAGUACUUGCAUCAAAGGCACAGUCCUGUAUGUGUCAUCAGACAAUUUAGGAGCUCAUUCUUUGGCUGGGUUUUAAGAGUCACUUUGUGUUGAUAAAUUUUGUAGAUUCUGCUUAGCCAGCCAUGAUGCUAUUCAGAGUGUCUCUGUGAGGGAUGGUUUGUUUCCACUGAGAACUAAAAUAUCGCACACUGAAGCUGUUCAGAGAGUAAAAGAGAACGAGGGUCUUGUUGUUGAUGGAGUGAAAAGGGAUUGUGUCCUAAACAGACUAAACUUUCACUAUGUAACAGGUUUUCCAUCAGACUUCUUACAUGACUUAUUUGAAAGAAUCGUACGUGUGGAGUUGUGUUUGUGUUUAAAGACACUGAUUGACAAGAAUUACUUUACCUUAGAGGAAUUGAAUUCUGCCAUUCAGCAUUUUCCGUAUAAAUUCUCAGAUAAGACAAAUAGACCACAGACAAUUCCCAAGGCCUUUAGAUCAAAAGGAACAGUUGGUGGGAACGGCCAUGAAAAUUGGUCACUUUUGAGGCUGCUCCCCUUGCUUAUUGGCAAUAAAAUACCUGAGAAUGGCACGACUUGGGGUAUCAUCUUAGAUAUUAAAGACAUUGUGGAAAUUCUAGCAUCGCCCAUGUUCACGGAGGAAAAGCUGUUUUAUCUUGAAGCCAGAAUCUUUGAACACCGCCAACUCCUACAGGAGGUUUUUCCUGAGUUUAAGCUGAAACCAAAACAUAAUUUUUUAGAGCAUUAUCCCCGUCUAGUUUGUUGUUUUGGGCCUUUGCUUGACUUUUGGACAAUUAGAUUUGAGGCCAAGCAUAGCUUUUUUAAGAUGGUUGUUCGCGAUGUUAAUAAUUUAAAAAAAUAUACUACUAACUUUAGCCUCCAGGCACCAGCUCAUGUUCGCAUAUUACAUGGGCAUGCCUACCCUGUUCAAACCAGCACUGGAAGUUGGAAAAAUAUCAACUGUCUGUCCUGACAUUUUGGACCCCUCUGUCAAAGACACUAUCAAUUCAGAAAUGUGACUGCUAUUUCUCUUGCAAAAACUGUAUUCUUACACGGAACUCAGUACACACAAGGAAUGUUUUUAUCAAUUCGAAACACAAGUGGACUGCCUGAUUUUUGGAAAAUUGUUAAUGUGUUAAUUGUAAAAACAAGCUGUUUUUUGUGGAAACGUACACAGCAUUGGUACACAAAGCACUUGAGUUAUGAGGUCUGCAAAAAUCACUCUGCUUGUAGUCCAACCAGAGGAGCUCAAUGAGUACUUCCCCCUGUCGGUGUAUAUGGGUCAAGACAGACUUCUGGUUUCUCCUAAAGCAUUUCUGCCUCAUUGAGUUAAAUUAGCACCUCUCUUACACAGUUUCAACAAAACACCAACAUUAUGACCUUUAUAACUGUAUGGCUACUGGAUUGGAUUGCAUUGUAGGGUGUCUCUUUUGUUUUGUCCACCCCCUGUAUCUUGCUUCAGUUAAGUCUUGCCAUUUACUUGUCAUGUUUUGUCAUUCUCAGCUUCACAGUGGAGCACGAGCUGCCAUCCUGGUUUGUUGUCCAGCUAGAGGAGCUCAACGAUUACUUCCACGUUGGCGUAUAUGGCUCAAGACAGACAUCUAGUUUCUCCUAAAUCAUUUCUGCUGCAUUGAGCUAGAGGAGCUUGAAGAUUACUUCCCCCUGUUGGCGUGUAUGAUUGCCCAACAUGCUGCUGCAAAUCAUUCUCAACAAAGAUGACAUUAGGAAGAUCCAGAUUGAUAGUUUGCCAGAGACUCUUGAUGAGUUUUAUUCAUUCUUGAAAUGUAAGCUUGGAUUGGAAGGUGACUUGGUGGUCCAAUAUGAAGAUUGAGAGUUUGACAAUGAGCUCUGCAAAUUUAUGAGCUUGUCUGAUCUUCCUGAGGGGAAGGCAACACUGAAGGUAACUGUCAAGCAGGCCCCUGAGUCAUAUCACACUGAUUCAACGUUUGACACGGCAAGUUUGUCCUUGUCCCCAUUGUCUUUUCGUGAAGACAUUUCCACCUGCCAUCGGCCUUGGCCUGACCCAUUUGAGAUUCCUAGAUUUUCAAAUGAUGUAGAGUUGCAACUUAAAAGGGAUAAUGAAGCCUACCAGGAGAACAGAACCUUGCUUAAUACAAGGAAAGACACUAAAUCUGAGAUACUUGACAAAUUGGCAGAAGCAAUGUACGCAUACACUGCCUACCCAUCACGAGAAGAAUAUGACAUCGUUGCAAGUCUCAUCAAGAAACAUCCUUGCCUGAGGGAGCCUGGGUCUGCCAAGGGUUGGCACUGCUGGAAAUUCAGCCAAAAAUUAAAAAUGGGAAACUACAGGAACAAGCUCUGUGUGGCUGGAUGCUCUGAACUCCAAGUUAAUCGCUGCUCCUCAGGACCAAAACAGAAGCUCAAGAAAGCUAAAAAAGCCGAAGUCAAUUUUCUUCCUGACUUCCCUGAAGGAAGAACCAAAAAUGUUCUGGAAGAAGAUAGAUUAGCCAUUAUUGGAGAGAUGAAGAAGAAGAAAGCUGGUAUGAAGAAAGUCAACAAAAUGAUGGUCAGCAUCUUCUCCCUGCAACAAAAGCAAAUUGUGGAACAAGAGCCACCUGUGGCAGAGGUGAAGACCCAGUGGCCAGCUUUGUUCACGGAGCAACAGGCCACAGACACUGAGGACAGCAUGGCAAGGGAAAUGAAUGUCGGCAUCCUCCUGAUGAAAGGAUCUUCUUGACGUCUCGGUGGCGCUGGAGGAUCAGAUCAUUCUCCAUGGCAUCAAGGACUACUCACAUGCGGUAGCUAUGCUAAUUGGUCUGCUAUAUGCACUGAACAUUGACUAACCGAAGGAGCUGCAAUAUACCUUCAAAGUCAUUCAGAAGGUUCUCAUGAAUAUCGGCAGUGAGCAAUGCUCUGCAAGCGUUCAUGGACUGAGGAAUAGACUUCUUCGUAAAACUGUGUAGGCACUACACUGAGACAGGAGUUUUGUGAAAGCUGACAAUGAUACAUUGGUUGGCCAUUAUCCUACAGUUUUCUUUAGAGUUCUGUUCCACUAUUACAACGUAACUUUGUUCACUAACCGAUCUUAUGCCACAUUCUCAGUUGAGCAAAUUUAAGAGCUUUUCCAUAAAGUUGUAAGUUGAAAUUAGUCAUAACUUUUUUCCUACAAGCCUAGGGGUUUGAGGUCUUUACUGCAAAGUCUGUUUUACUACCGUGAGAUUGACCUUUUUGGUUGUGCAUAAUUUUACUUGAUAUUUUUAGUUUAUUAUGCACUUACUCAUAUUUUUACUUGUAUUUUUAAAAAUACAUUUUUCAUUAAUUUUUUUACAUGCAUCUGCAAACACUUGUAUAAGUAAGCAUAGUGACAGAAUGAAAGAUAGCGGCAGCAGUAAUGAGUAGAGAAUACUUAUUUGUGCACAUUCUAGAGCGGGGAUGUUUACCCACAAGCUUGUGCUGUUUUAGGGGUAAAAAUCUUUUUGUAUUUGAUGGGAUCUGUUAUUUUGCUGUAUACUCAAAGGUUGUUUUAUUACCUUGCCCAUCUGUGUUAUUAAAUCUUUGAAGAACUGGAA